UACAGAGGUCCCGAGCGUUGUUCGGAUUCACUGGGCGUAAAGGGUGCGUAGGUGGUGAGGUAAGUCGGAUGUGAAAUCUCCGAGCUCAACUCGGAAAUGGCAUUGGAAACUACCUUGCUUGAGGGUUGGAGGGGGGACUGGAAUACUUGGUGUAGCAGUGAAAUGCGUAGAUAUCAAGUGGAACACCAGUGGCGAAGGCGGCUUACUGGUCCGGUUCUGACGCUGAGGCGCGAAAGCGUGGGGAGCAAACAGG
rnacentral:rRNA from 1 species